UAAGGUAGUGUUUGACCUAGCUUAUUUUAGACUUUUCUUCUCCUUAAGAGAAGAAGUCAGGCCAAACAAUUUUCACUAGAAGCCCUUAAUAGAAAAAGUAGCUUAAAGAAUGCAAAGAAAAACAUGCAGAAAAGCGCUUCCUAACAAGCUGUUGAUAGGAACUUUUGGCAAGCAUAUGCGAGCUUUUUGUAGCAGACCACUAUUCGAUUCCCGCAGGCUAAUGAUCUUACAUUUCAGCAAUAUAUAUAUUUUUUUUGACAAACAUUUCAGCAACAUAUAUCACUGACCUUUUUCUUUCGUCACAUGCAUAUUAAUUUUUCUUCUUGUUUUUUUUAGAGUAUUAAUUUUUCUUUGUGUCACAUGCAUAUUAUUUUUUUCUUUAUUUUACUGGACACAUGCAUAUUAAUCGUUCAGAUAGUUUAUAGUUCUUUUUUUGACUUAAAU
rnacentral:lncRNA from 1 species